UAAUACCGUACUACGUCAACGCUCAUUUGGCUGCAUUCGGGGAUUUUCUGGCCUCUUUCUGGCAGGUGUUGUAGGAGCCACUACCAGCACUAUAUCAUCCGCCAUAAAUUCACUGGCGGCCGUAACUUACGUGGAGUUUGUCGCUAUCUUUGCCAAACCGACACCAAGAGUCUCGCUUCUCCUGACGAAGCUUUUAGCUUUUGCAUCAGGAAUAGUUAUGAGCCUUUAUGCAAUCGUCAUUCCAUACAUGGGCUCUACUGGUAGGGUUUUGAUGGUGCUGCAGGGUUGCAUUACCGCACCUUUUGUAAGUCUUUCAAUAUUAGGUCUGGCUUUUCCCUGUGUCGAUACCAAGG
rnacentral:lncRNA from 1 species